rnacentral:rRNA from 1 species
ACGCUCGACACCUACGGGAGGUAGCAGUGAGGAAUAUUGGUCAAUGGGCGCUAGCCUGAACCAGCCAAGUAGCGUGAAGGAUGAAGGCUCUAUGGGUCGUAAACUUCUUUUAUAUAAGAAUAAAGUGCAGUAUGUAUACUGUUUUGUAUGUAUUAUAUGAAUAAGGAUCGGCUAACUCCGUGUCAGCAGCCGCGGUAAUCUGAGCGGGCUGGCAAGGC